GGGGGCGAAAGGUCUCGACGGGGGUUACCAGGCCCUGAUGGCAUGCCGUGGGUCUCUGCCGCCACGUAAAAAGGCAGGGAAAACACAAACGCCAAUAACGAACUGGCACUCGCUGCUUAACUAAAAGCAGCACGCUUUCCAUGGGCGGGCCUGCGGUCCGGGGAAGCGACAGCUAGCGGGCUAAGCCCAAGGGGAGUCUUCACCCGGGGGACUAAAACCAAAGAGGAGACUGGGCCUGCAGUGAGCGCGGCCGCUCGCGCUAAGCGGGCCGAGAUUUAAAAAGCGGCCUAAGCAUGUAGAGGUUUGGGUACAGUGCUUUCGGACGCGGGUUCAAUUCCCGCCGCCUCCACCA
rnacentral:tmRNA from 1 species